CUCACCUGCAGCAGGCACUCGGCACAACUCCGCAGGACCGGCUCACCUGCACCGGGCACUCAGCACAGCCUCCAGCAUGCAGCGCCUCCCCGCUGCCACCCGGGCCACCCUGAUCCUCAGCCUGGCCUUUGCCUCCCUCCACUCGGCUUGCUCGGCAGAAGCAAGCAGCAGCAACAGCUCAAGCUUGACCGCUCACCACCCAGACCCUGGGACCCUGGAGCAGUGCCUCAAUUUCUUUUCUGGCCGGGUGCAGUGUGGAUCACACCUGUAAUCCCAACACUUCGGGAGGCCAAUGCGGGUGGAUCACCCUGAGGCCAGGAGAUCGAGACCAGCCCGCCAACAUGGUGAAACACUACCUCUACUAAAAAUAGAAAAAU
rnacentral:lncRNA from 10 species